rnacentral:rRNA from 1 species
GUUAAGCGACUAAGCGUACACGGUGGAUGCCCUGGCAGUCAGAGGCGAUGAAGGACGUGCUAAUCUGCGAUAAGCGUCGGUGAGGUGAUAUGAACCGUUAUAACCGGCGAUUUCCGAAUGGGGAAACCCAGUGUGUUUCGACACACUAUCAUUAACUGAAUCCAUAGGUUAAUGAGGCGAACCGGGGGAACUGAAACAUCUAAGUACCCCGAGGAAAAGAAAUCAACCGAGAUUCCCCCAGUAGCGGCGAGCGAACGGGGAGGAGCCCAGAGCCUGAAUCAGUGUGUGUGUUAGUGGAAGCGUCUGGAAAGGCGCGCGAUACAGGGUGACAGCCCCGUACACAAAAAUGCACAUAUUGUGAGCUCGAUGAGUAGGGCGGGACACGUGGUAUCCUGUCUGAAUAUGGGGGGACCAUCCUCCAAGGCUAAAUACUCCUGACUGACCGAUAGUGAACCAGUACCGUGAGGGAAAGGCGAAAAGAACCCCGGCGAGGGGAGUGAAAAAGAACCUGAAACCGUGUACGUACAAGCAGUGGGAGCCUCUUAAUGGGGUGACUGCGUACCUUUUGUAUAAUGGGUCAGCGACUUAUAUUCUGUAGCAAGGUUAACCGAAUAGGGGAGCCGAAGGGAAACCGAGUCUUAACUGGGCGUUAAGUUGCAGGGUAUAGACCCGAAACCCGGUGAUCUAGCCAUGGGCAGGUUGAAGGUUGGGUAACACUAACUGGAGGACCGAACCGACUAAUGUUGAAAAAUUAGCGGAUGACUUGUGGCUGGGGGUGAAAGGCCAAUCAAACCGGGAGAUAGCUGGUUCUCCCCGAAAGCUAUUUAGGUAGCGCCUCGUGAAUUCAUCUCCGGGGGUAGAGCACUGUUUCGGCAAGGGGGUCAUCCCGACUUACCAACCCGAUGCAAACUGCGAAUACCGGAGAAUGUUAUCACGGGAGACACACGGCGGGUGCUAACGUCCGUCGUGAAGAGGGAAACAACCCAGACCGCCAGCUAAGGUCCCAAAGUCAUGGUUAAGUGGGAAACGAUGUGGGAAGGCCCAGACAGCCAGGAUGUUGGCUUAGAAGCAGCCAUCAUUUAAAGAAAGCGUAAUAGCUCACUGGUCGAGUCGGCCUGCGCGGAAGAUGUAACGGGGCUAAACCAUGCACCGAAGCUGCGGCAGCGACACUAUGUGUUGUUGGGUAGGGGAGCGUUCUGUAAGCCUGUGAAGGUGGCCUGUGAGGGUUGCUGGAGGUAUCAGAAGUGCGAAUGCUGACAUAAGUAACGAUAAAGCGGGUGAAAAGCCCGCUCGCCGGAAGACCAAGGGUUCCUGUCCAACGUUAAUCGGGGCAGGGUGAGUCGACCCCUAAGGCGAGGCCGAAAGGCGUAGUCGAUGGGAAACAGGUUAAUAUUCCUGUACUUGGUGUUACUGCGAAGGGGGGACGGAGAAGGCUAUGUUGGCCGGGCGACGGUUGUCCCGGUUUAAGCGUGUAGGCUGGUUUUCCAGGCAAAUCCGGAAAACCAAGGCUGAGGCGUGAUGACGAGGCACUACGGUGCUGAAGCGACAAAUGCCCUGCUUCCAGGAAAAGCCUCUAAGCAUCAGGUAACAUCAAAUCGUACCCCAAACCGACACAGGUGGUCAGGUAGAGAAUACCAAGGCGCUUGAGAGAACUCGGGUGAAGGAACUAGGCAAAAUGGUGCCGUAACUUCGGGAGAAGGCACGCUGAUAUGUAGGUGAAGCGACUUGCUCGUGGAGCUGAAAUCAGUCGAAGAUACCAGCUGGCUGCAACUGUUUAUUAAAAACACAGCACUGUGCAAACACGAAAGUGGACGUAUACGGUGUGACGCCUGCCCGGUGCCGGAAGGUUAAUUGAUGGGGUUAGCGGCAACGCGAAGCUCUUGAUCGAAGCCCCGGUAAACGGCGGCCGUAACUAUAACGGUCCUAAGGUAGCGAAAUUCCUUGUCGGGUAAGUUCCGACCUGCACGAAUGGCGUAAUGAUGGCCAGGCUGUCUCCACCCGAGACUCAGUGAAAUUGAACUCGCUGUGAAGAUGCAGUGUACCCGCGGCAAGACGGAAAGACCCCGUGAACCUUUACUAUAGCUUGACACUGAACAUUGAGCCUUGAUGUGUAGGAUAGGUGGGAGGCUUUGAAGUGUGGACGCCAGUCUGCAUGGAGCCGACCUUGAAAUACCACCCUUUAAU